GCGAAACCGUGUGAUCUACCCAUGGGCAGGCUGAAGCUGUAGUAACAUACAGUGGAGGGCCGAACCGGUUGACGUUGAAAAGUCUUCGGAUGACCUGUGGGUAGGGGUGAAAGGCCAAUCAAACUCGGAAAUAGCUCGUACUCCCCGAAAUGCAUUUAGGUGCAGCGUUGAUCCAUAGUUUUAUAGAGGUAGAGCUACUGAUUGGAUGCGGGGGCUUCACCGCCUACCAAUUCCUGACAAACUCCGAAUGCUAUGAAAUGUUAAUCAGCAGUGAGGGCAUGGGUGCUAAGGUCCAUGUCCGAGAGGGAAACAACCCGGACCACCAGCUAAGGUCCCUAAGUGUGUAUUAAGUUGAGAAAACGCGGUCGGACUGCUUUGACAGCCAGGAUGUUGGCUUGGAAGCAGCCAUUCAUUUAAAGAGUGCGUAACAGCUCACUGGUCGAGCGGUCCGGCAUGGAUAAUGAUCGGGCAUAAAUACACCACCGAAGCUGUGGACUUCCUUUGGAAGUGGUAGGGGAGCAUUGUGUUUGCGUUGAAGGUUGACUGCGAGGUCUGCUGGAGCGACCACAAAUGAAAAUGUAGGCAUAAGUAACGAUAAUGGGGGCGAGAAACCCCCACACCGAAAGACCAAGGUUUCCCCGGCUAUGCUAAUCAGCCGGGGGUUAGUCGGGACCUAAGGCGAACCCGAAAGGGGUAGUCGAUGGACAACGGGUUAAUAUUCCCGUACCCGCUCACAUUAAAAGCGACGGAGGCGCGGCGUUGGUGCGCACUGACAGAAUAGUGCGUUGAACUCUACGAAAGUAGAGGAUAGUACGAUGAGGCUACGGCCAAGUCGAUAAUCCAGCAUAGCGACUUCCUAGAAAAGCAAGUGAAGCGGCCCGUACCGUAAACCGACACAGGUAGUCGAGGAGAGUAUCCUAAGGUGCUCGAGUGAUCCGUGGUUAAGGAACUAGGCAAAUUAGCCCUGUAACUUCGGGAGAAAGGGCCCCCUCUUCGGAGGGGCGCAGUGAAAUGGCCCAGGCGACUGUUUAGCAAAAACACAGGACUAUGCUAAGUUGAAAGAC
rnacentral:rRNA from 1 species